rnacentral:misc_RNA from 1 species
UCUUUGUCUCUGUCGGCGCAUCUGUCAUUCUCCUCGGGAAUCUUCCAUCUCGUCAACACCCCUCUCGCCACCGAAUAUGGGCAAGAUAGAGGUGACGGUGUGUGCGGCACGAAAGCUGCACGAUUGCCAGCUGAUUGGCCUGCCAGACCCCUUUGUGCGGCUCGUCAUGGGCGACAAGAAGUACAAGACGCAGGUGGUGAAGAACAGCCUCAACCCGGCGUGGGGCGAGACGUUUCGCUUUCACAUCCCGGACGAAAUGAGCACGCAGCUUCGGCUGGAGGUAUGGAACAAGUGUACGUACAGCGAUGACCUCAUGGGCUACUACACGUUAUCCCUCGGUGGUCUGACAAAGGGCAUUGUGAAGGACCAGUGGUACAUACUAGAAAAGUCCAAGACGCAGGCAGAGCUGCACGUGCGCUUGUUGGCAGUUGACUUUGGCGCGCUUCCCAAGCAAGAGGAGCUGUGGAUGGUGACAACGGACAUCAACCGCGACCCGGUAAAGCGCGCAAUUGAGGACGGCACGUGGCGUCCGGGGCAGAAGACCGCCCCGCCGCAGCCCCAGCAGCAGGCGUACGCGUUGCCUGCUCCCGUUCCGCAGCAGCAACCACAGAACCUAGGAGUUCAAUGCGUCACCGUCUCGCCACAGCAAGUUCCGUAUGUCCCCCUGCUGCCGGUACAGUACGUGCCCCUGCCGCAAGCUCAGUAUACUCCUCAGCCGCAGCCAGUGCAGUACGUCCAGCAGCAACCGCCUCAGGGCUACUAUCAGCCGCGCCCGCCGCUGCCGCAGCCCAGCUACUACCCGCCUGGCCCCCCGUCACCGCUGCAGUCUGGCUACCACCAGCAGCCGCCAGUGCCGAGCCAGCAGGUGUACUACACGCAGCUGCCUUCACAGUGCUACGCGCCACAGCCGCAGUACCAGUACUAGGCGAAAGCAACGGCCACGGGUGAACGUUCUAAUGUGGUUUAUCGCUACCGAUUACGUGCGGCAGAGAAAAAGAGAGAGACAGAUGCAGACGAAAGCCGUGAACCGGAUGCUGUUGGAUUCUCCGGCUCUUGCGCAUGCGCACACACUCCCCUGCAUAUAUAUGUGUAUAUAUAUGUGUAUCUAUAUAUAGUUCUCGUACCCUUCAUAGACAUUCUCUUCUGGAAUGCGCUUCUGUCUUUGUCGUCUGCUCCUAUCUCCUGUUUGUGUCUUUGCCGUGCCUGAUGGCGGUGCGGUGAUGGGGUCGGCGGUGGGCUUCUGCCGGCCACUUUAUAUGUUUGAGCUUUUCCUACGUUUGGUUGCUCUUCUCCUCCCUCCACCCUCUAUCAGAAUUCUCCUCUUUCUGCGUUGCCCGUCACUCCCUGUCGUAGACUUCACGGUGGUCUCCGCCUCACUGAGUGGACGUGUAUGCAGUUACGUAUACGUGUGUAUGUCUAUGCGUGUGUAUGUGUGUUGUUUUCUUUUUCCUCAUCCUCCCCCCCCGCAUGCCUGCAUCUCUGUUGCUCUGAAUUCGGAUGCGCGUCGAUUUGCGUGCGUCUAAGGUACGUGCGCGCCCAACACCUCUGUGAGGGCUGUGAUGCUCAGCAGUAGCGGGAAGGCAAAGACAGAGGAGGAGGUGACUGAAAGGCGUUUCUGGUGGUUGCAAGUGCUCCUGAGAGCUGGCAUCCGCUUCCUCCACACCCCCUCCGCAGCCCCACGCGCCACCGUCUCCUGUCUUUUUCACCAGUCGAUUCCUGCCCCCGGGCCUUCUCCCUCUUUCUCUGCUCCUUUCCCUUCCUGCCGCAUCGAUGCAGCUGCCCCUUUUGUCUUCGCUUCUUGUCCCUCUUCAUGUCUGUUCCUUAUCUGCAUAAGUGUGUGGAUCCGCGAGUGGAGCGCGGAAAGACACCGAAUACAAAAGAAAACACGAUACUCGCCUUGCCCACUUCGGAACCUCACCUUUCGGCCUCUCUGCCUCGCGUGUGUGAGGAAACAUGGCUGCAGAUGCUCUUGGUACCCCAGCAUCCCGUGAGGCGGGCACUUGCGCGCCAAAGACACUAAAGAUGAGGCGCUUUCCCAAUCGCCAUCAGAGUCGCCCCCUUCCUAUGUUCUUCUCUUCACGUCCACGCCACGGUCCGAUCGAUCUGUGUCUCUAC